rnacentral:rRNA from 1 species
AGUGAACGCUGGCGGUAGGCCUAACACAUGCAAGUCGAACGGCAGCACAGGAGAGCUUGCUCGCUGGGUGGCGAGUGGCGGACGGGUGAGGAAUACAUCGGAAUCUACUUUUUCGAGGGGGAUAACGUAGGGAAACUUACGCUAAUACCGCAUACGACCUACGGGUGAAAGCAGGGGCUCUUCGGACCUUGCGCGAUUGAAUGAGCCGAUGUCGGAUUAGCGAGUUGGCGGGGUAAAGGCCCACCAAGGCGACGAUCCGUAGCUGGUCUGAGGGGAUGAUCAGCCACACUGGAACUGAGACACGGGCCAGACUCCUACGGGAGGCAGCAGUGGGGAAUAUUGGACAAUGGGCGCAAGCCUGAUCCAGCCAGACCGCGUGGGUGAAGAAGGCCUUCGGGUUGUAAAGCCCUUUUGUUGGGAAAGAAAUCCAGCUGGCUAAUACCCGGUUGGGAUGACGGUACCCAAAGAAUAAGCACCGGCUAACUUCGUGCCAGCAGCCGCCGUAA